CGAAAGAUGGUGAACUAGUCCUGGCCUGGACGAAACCAGAGGAAACUCUGGCGGAGGUCCGCAGCAUUUCUGACGUGCAAAUCGAUUGUCAGAGCUGUGUUUAGGGGCGAAAGACUAAUCGAACCAUCUAGUAGCUGGUUCCCUCCGAAGUUUCCCUCAGGAAAGCUGGUACUCGGUAUUGAGUUACACCUAAUAAAGCGAAUGAUUAGAGUUGUGUGGGGAGGAAACCUCCUCACCCUAUUCUCAAACUUGAAAUGGGUGUGCGCCUGGUUUGCUUGAAUUCUUGAAGCCAGUGCGAUGAAUCAAAGAGUAUUCAGUGGGCCACUUCU
rnacentral:rRNA from 1 species